GAUGAACGCUGGCGGCGUGCUUAACACAUGCAAGUCGAACGGAAAGGCCCAAGCUUGCUUGGGUACUCGAGUGGCGAACGGGUGAGUAACACGUGGGUGAUCUGCCCUGCACUUCGGGAUAAGCCUGGGAAACUGGGUCUAAUACCGGAUAGGACCACAUUUUGGAGGGUGUGGUGGAAAGUUUUUCGGUGUGGGAUGAGCUCGCGGCCUAUCAGCUUGUUGGUGGGGUAAUGGCCUACCAAGGCGUCGACGGGUAGCCGGCCUGAGAGGGUGUACGGCCACAUUGGGACUGAGAUACGGCCCAGACUCCUACGGGAGGCAGCAGUGGGGAAUAUUGCACAAUGGGCGCAAGCCUGAUGCAGCGACGCCGCGUGGGGGAUGACGGCCUUCGGGUUGUAAACUCCUUUCGCUAGGGACGAAGCGUUAUGUGACGGUACCUGGAGAAGAAGCACCGGCUAACUACGUG
rnacentral:rRNA from 1 species